ACUCUCGUACACUGUUGGUAGAAAUGUAAAUUAGUACAGCCACUAUGGAGAACAGUAUGAAGGUUCCUUAAUAAACUAAAGAUAGAACUACCAUAUAAUCCAGCAAUCUCUCUACUCGGUAUUUAUCCAAAGGAAAUGAAAUUGGUAUGUCGAGUUGAAGAGAUAUCUGCACUCCCAUGUUUAUCACAGUCCUAUUCACAACAGCCAAGAUUUGGAAGCAAUCUAAGGGAAGGGUAGUAGGGUGGGGUGGGGAAGUGGGGAUGGUUAAUGAGUACAAAAAAAUAGAAGGAAUAAGAUCUAGUAUUUGAUAGCACAACACAGUGACUACAGUCAACAAUAAUCUAUUGUAUAUUAAAAAAUAACUAAAAGUAUAAUUGGAAUGUUUGUAACACAAAGAAAUAUAUGCUUGAGGUUAUGGAUACCCCAUUUAUCCUGAUGUGGUUAUUACAUUGUAUGCCUGUAUAAAAAUCUCUCAUGUACCCCAUAAAUAUAUAUGUCUACUAUGUACCCACAAAAAUUAAAAAAAAUUUAAAAGUAAAAUGUAAAAUUUCAAAUGC
rnacentral:lncRNA from 10 species